rfam:Nicotiana attenuata strain TT scaffold02800, whole genome shotgun sequence.
UGGACAGAUUAUUGUAUUCAACUGUAUUCACGGUGCGAAAUAGGGGAUUACACUAUUUUUAAAACGGAAAGUGAAUCAAUUAACAUAAUAGACUCCU